GUGGGGAAUAUUGGACAAUGGGCGAAAGCCUGAUCCAGCCAUGCCGCGUGUGUGAAGAAGGUCUUCGGAUUGUAAUGCACUUUAAGUUGGGAGGAAGGGCAGUAAGUUAAUACCUUGCUGUUUUGACGUUACCGACAGAAUAAGCACCGGCUAACUUCGUGCCAGCAGCCGCGGUAAUACGAAGGGUGCAAGCGUUAAUCGGAAUUACUGGGCGUAAAGCGCGCGUAGGUGGUUUUGUAAGUUGGAGGUGAAAUCCCCGGGCUCAACCUGGGAACUGCCUCCAAAACUGCAUGACUAGAGUACGGUAGAAGGUAGUGGAAUUUCCUGUGUAGCGGUGAAAUGCGUAGAUAUAGGAAGGAACACCAGUGGCGAAGGCGACUACCUGGACUGAUACUGACACUGAGGUGCGAAAGCGUGGGGAGCAAACAGGAUUAGAUACCCCAGUAGUCC
rnacentral:rRNA from 1 species